rnacentral:rRNA from 1 species
UGGGGAAUAUUGCACAAUGGGCGAAAGCCUGAUGCAGCGACGCCGCGUGAGGGAUGACGGCCUUCGGGUUGUAAACCUCUUUCAGUAGGGACGAAGCGCAAGUGACGGUACCUGCAGAAGAAGCACCGGCUAACUACGUGCCAGCAGCCGCGGUAAUACGUAGUGUGCGAGCGUUGUCCGGAAUUACUGGGCGUAAAGAGCUCGUAGGCGGUUUGUCACGUCGUCUGUGAAAUCCUAGGGCUUAACCCUGGACGUGCAGGCGAUACGGGCUGACUUGAGUACUACAGGGGAGACUGGAAUUGCUGGUGUAGCGGUGGAAUGCACAGAUAUCAGGAAGAACACCGAUGGCGAAGGCAGGUCUCUGGGUAGUAACUGACGCUGAGGAGCGAAAGCAUGGGUAGCGAACAGG